UACGGAGGGGGCUAGCGUUGUUCGGAAUUACUGGGCGUAAAGCGCACGUAGGCGGCUUUGUAAGUUAGAGGUGAAAGCCCAGGGCUUAACCCUGGAAUUGCCUUUAAGACUGCAUCGCUAGAAUCGUGGAGAGGUAAGUGGAAUUCCGAGUGUAGAGGUGAAAUUCGUAGAUAUUCGGAAGAACACCAGUGGCGAAGGCGACUUGCUGGACACGUAUUGACGCUGAGGUGCGAAAGCGUGGGGAGCAAACAGG
rnacentral:rRNA from 1 species